GCGAUCGGCGAAAACACGUUGAAUGCAUGAUUGCAUAUGCAUAGGUUCACCAUGGAUCACUAAAGUUAAGCAACGCAGUGCGUGGUUGGUAUUCGGAUGGGUGACCAUCUGGACAAUCGCGUGCUGGUGACU
rnacentral:rRNA from 1 species